AGUGAACGCUGGCGGUAGGCCUAACACAUGCAAGUCGAACGGCAGCACAGUAAGAGCUUGCUCUUACGGGUGGCGAGUGGCGGACGGGUGAGGAAUACAUCGGAAUCUACUUUUUCGUGGGGGAUAACGUAGGGAAACUUACGCUAAUACCGCAUACGACCUACGGGUGAAAGCAGGGGAUCUUCGGACCUUGCGCGAUUGAAUGAGCCGAUGUCGGAUUAGCUAGUUGGCGGGGUAAAGGCCCACCAAGGCGACGAUCCGUAGCUGGUCUGAGAGGAUGUUCAGCCACAUGGGACCGAGGAAACGGCCCGAAUCCUUAGGGGAGGAAGAGUGGGGAAUAUUGGACAAUGGGCGCAAGCCUGAUCCAGCCAUACCGCGUGGGUGAAGAAGGCCUUCGGGUUGUAAAGCCCUUUUGUUGGGAAAGAGAAGCAGCAGGUUAAUACCCCGCUGUUCUGACGGUACCCAAAGAAUAAGCACCGGCUAACUUCGUG
rnacentral:rRNA from 1 species